AGCUUUUUUCGCAGCGGAACUCGACCGCCCCACCAGAAGAUGAUCGAAUACAUCGAUGCGUAUCGCGAUCGCUUCGGGGUCGAGGCUAUCUGUCGCACAUUGAAAGAGACAGAAUGUGGGUUCAUCACCUCCCG
rfam:Corynebacterium jeikeium K411 complete genome